AGAUUGAACGCUGGCGGAAUGCUUUACACAUGCAAGUCGAACGGCAGCACGGGAGCUUGCUCCUGGUGGCGAGUGGCGAACGGGUGAGUAACAUAUCGGAACGUAUCCAAUAAUGGGGGAUAACUAAGCGAAAGCUUGGCUAAUACCGCAUACGCCCUGAGGGGGAAAGCUGGGGAUCUUCGGACCUAGCGUUAAUGGAGCGGCCGAUAUCUGAUUAGCUUAGUUGGUGGGGUAAAGGCCCACCAAGGCGACGAUCAGUAGCUGGUCUGAGAGGACGACCAGCCACACUGGAACUGAGACACGGUCCAGACUCCUACGGGAGGCAGCAGGUGGGGAAUUUUGGACAAGUGGG
rnacentral:rRNA from 1 species